AUGGCUUCAAAUGACUAUCUCCAACAAGCAACUCAAACCUAUGGGCUUAUCCUACCCAGCCUGGGCUACUCCCAACAGAGCAAUCAGCCCUAUGGCCAGAAGAGUUACACUGGUUAUGGCCAAUCAGCUGACACUCAGGAUAUGGCCAGAACAGUUAUGGUUCUUAUGGACAGACCCAAAACACAGGCUAUGGAACUCAGUCCCCAGGGAUAUGAUAUGGUUCUACUGGUGACUAUGGCAACAGCCACAGUUCCCAAUCUUCUUAUGGGCAGCAGUCCUUCUACCCUGGCUAUGGCCAACAACACCUCAGGAAGUUAUGGUGGCAGUUCUCAGAGCAGUAGCUAUGGGCAGCCCCAGAGUGGAGGUUAUGGUCAACGGUCUGGCUAUGGUGGACAGCAGCAAAACUACGGACAGCAACAAAGCUCCUAUAACCCACCUCAGGAUUAUGAACAACAGAACCAGUAAAACAGCAGCAGUGGAGGUGGUAGAGGGGGCGGUGGAGGCAACUAUGUCCAAGAUAAGUCCUUUAUGAGUGGUGGUGGCGGUGGCUGUGGUGGUGGUGGUGGUUAUGGCAAUCAGGACCAGAGUGGUGGCGGCAGUGGUGGCUAUGCAGGAGGCCAGCAGGAUCGUGGGGGCAGUGUCAGGGACAACGGGAAUGGUUGCAACCGAAGCGGUGGUGCUAUGAACCCAGAGGCCAUGGAGGUGGCCAAGGAGGCAGAGGUGGCAUGGGCAGAAGUGACCGUGGUGGCUUCAAUAAAUUUGGUGGUCCUCGGGAUCAAGGAUCUCCUCAUGAUUCUGAACAGGAUAAUUCAGACAACACUAUCUUCGUGCAAGGCCUAGGUGAGAAUGUUACAAUUGAAUCUGUGGCUGAUUACCUCAAGCAGAUUGGAGUUAUUAAGACAAACAAGAAAAUUGAACAGCCUAUGAUUAAUUUGUAGACAGACAGGGAAACUGGCAACAAUCUCAUUUGAUGACCCACCUUCUGCUAAAGCAGCUAUCGACUGGUUUGAUGGUAAAGAAUUCCCUGAGAAUCCCAUUAAAGUUUCAUUUGCUACCUACCGAUCUGACUUCAAUUGGGAUGGUGGAAACAGUCAUGGAGGCCAAGGGCCUGGAAGACCCAUGAGCCAUGGAGGCUAUGGAGGAGGUGGCAGCAGUGGCUGUGGUCGUGAAGGAUUCCCCAGUGGAGGUGGUGGGGGUUGAGGAUAGCAAGGAGCUGGGGACUGGAAGUGUCCAAAUCCUACAUGUGAGAACAUGAACUUCUCUUGGAGAAAUGAAUGCAACCAGUGUAAGGCACCUAAGCCAGCUGGCCCAGGACAGGGAACAGGAGGCUCUCAUAUGGGGGGAAACGAUGGAGACGAUCUACGUGGCAGAGGAAGAUAUGACCAGGGCGGCUACUGGCGCCGAGGAGGAGACUGUGGGGGCUUCAGAGAGGGACAGGGUGGUAGGGACAGAGCCUAUUUUGGCCCUGGCAAGAUGGACUCCAAGGGCGAGCACAGACAGAAUCACAGGGAGAGGCCAUAUUAG